rnacentral:misc_RNA from 1 species
GAUGAAGAACGCAGCGAAAUGCGAUAAGUAAUGUGAAUUGCAGAAUCCAGUGAAUCAUCGAAUCUUUGAACGCACAUUGCGCCCGCCAGCAUUCUGGCGGGCAUGCCUGUUCGAGCGUCAUUUCAACCCUCGACCUCCCUUUGGGGAAGUCGGCGUUGGGGACCGGCAGCACACCGCCGGCCCUGAAAUGGAGUGGCGGCCCGUCCGCGGCGACCUCUGCGUAGUAAUCCAACUCGCUCCGGAACCCCGACGCGGCCACGCCGUAAAACACCCAACUUCUGAACGUUGACCUCGAAUCAGGUAGGACUACCCGCUGAACUUAAGCAUAUCAAUAAGCGGAGGA